rnacentral:rRNA from 1 species
AACGAACGCUGGCGGCGUGCCUAACACAUGCAAGUCGAGCGCGAAAGGGGGGGGCAACUCCCCCGAGUAGAGCGGCGCACGGGUGAGUAACGCGUGGGUAACCUACCCCCCGGCGGGGGAUAACUACUCGAAAGGGUGGCUAAUACCGCAUGAGACCACGGGGUCUUCGGAUCCUGAGGCCAAAGGCCGCUUCGGCUUGCCGGAGCGGUCACCGGAGGAUGGGCCCGCGUCCGAUUAGCUAGUUGGCGAGGUAACGGCUCACCAAGGCGACGAUCGGUAGCUGGUCUGAGAGGAUGAUCAGCCACACUGGAACUGGAACACGGUCCAGACUCCUACGGGAGGCAGCAGUGAGGAAUAUUGCGCAAUGGGGGAAACCCUGACUCAGCAACGCCGCGUGGGUGAAGAAGGCCUUCGGGUCGUAAAGCCCUUUCGGACGGGACGAACGCUCCGCGGUGACAACCCGCGGAGCUUGACGGUACCGUAGGAAGAAGCACCGGCUAACUCCGUGCCAGCAGCCGCAGUAAUAC